rnacentral:lncRNA from 1 species
GUAAUGAAGUUUGUCUAUGUGUAUUUAUAUGGAAAAAUGCUUCAGAAAUGGGAAUAAUUCAGGUGCCAGAAAAAUCACAAAGAGCACAUGUCCCUUUAUGGAAAAGAAAAGAAUUUUGGGGGCAUCAAAAUCUUGAAAGCUGUACAGCAAAUUAAAUAGUUAUUUCCAAAGUAUUGAAUUAUGAGAGGGAAUUUCACUUCUUAUUUUAUACAUUAGCAUUUGGAAAUCUUUUAUCCCCAUCCUUAGGUGAGAAAGUCCUCAAAUAUAAUGUUUAUGUCAUCUUCAAAGAUCAUCUUGAGGUGACGUUCUUCAGAUUGGGUAACAAAUAUUUGUGGAGUGCACAAAUAUGAAAAAGGGGAAAAUUAAAUGAAUAAAGAAGGGAAUUUUACCUCAUAGAAUAGGGAAUGUACAGCUAGUCUUCUGUGUCUAAUAGGGGCAAAUUUCAAGCAGUACCAUUUCUGUAGGCUUUGAAGAAUUAAUUCAGUCUCUAUUAAUCCCUAGUCUUCUAUUCGGUCCUUUGCAAAUGAAAUUGUUUGGAGAACAAGAAACAUUUUAUGUUUUGUUACUGGAAACUUUUUUCACAAGGGUGGCUCUCAGGAUAAAUUGGGGUUAUGUUACAGUAAGGACUAAAAUUUCAGUGGCUUGAAACAAUUCAAAUGUACUUCCUGUGCAUGUGGCAUUUCCAAAACAAAUUACAAACGAAGCUUUGUUUAUUAUAGUCAGUCAGGAACCCAGGUAGAUGGAAGCUUUAUCUCAAAAUGUGAAUCUAUGAUCACAGUGGAGAGAGGGAGGCAUUAUGACAAAUUAUGCCUUGGUUCGAGUUGCCACCUAGAAGUGAUGUGUGCCCUCUGUUUCACUGGCUGUGCAGUUCACAUGACCACUGCUCAUAUCAAGGAGGGAAGGGACAUGAAAUCUCACCCUGUACAGAUUCUGAGGAAUGGUGGAUGGGAUUUAUUUCUAUGUAAAAUCAUCCACAUGUACAUAUUUUCAACAUCCCAGUUUGGACUCCCUUCACUUGAAGCCUAUUUCUCAUGCCUAUAUCAUAACCCCUUACCCAUAAAUAAUGUUUCCUAGAACACAUGCUUCCUCUCACUCCAUACCCACAACUAAGAUAUAGAGAGAGAGAGAGAAAGAGAGGUUUCCCACAGCUAAGCUGCCAUUUAGCCACUUUCUUGCUCCUAUUCUUACCCUGUAAGCAAAUAAUUACCACGCAAGUGAAUUCUAUACUUCUUAGGUGAUUACACUUGAGGUUCUAUUGAUUUCUUUACCUUGGGGAUAUAAAGAGAGCACCUUUUACUUAUUAGUAGUGGGUUAACAAUUUUCUUUAAAGUAAAAUUUCUCUAAGUAUUUUAAUUGCCAUUUCCAGCAAAUACAAACCAAAUUGGUACAUUGCCAUGUUCCCUGGGGUGAGUGGGGGGCUCAAUAAAUAUUAAGUGGUGAGAAGAGAAUGAUUAAAAUUUUAAAGUAAAUGCUUACAUUGGAAAAAGGGGAUCUUGCCGGACAAGUUCUGAGUAAUAGCACUAAUCUCUCUUAGUUAUCAUGCAUGACAUAAAAUAUAUAAUUUAUUGUGAAAUGGACUGCCCUAAAUAGGCCAUAUUGUUAUCUUUAUGGCCAAAUUUGAACUCUAGCAAAUAUAAGCUCCAUGCUCAUCUCUGGCAUUAUUAGCAUUAUUUAGUUUUGUUUUCAUUUGUUUUUUUAAUUUUCUUUUUUAAAAAUUGAGAUAUAAUUGAUAUAUAAUGAAGUUAGUUUCAGGAAUACGAGGUAAAUAUUUGACAUUUGUAUGUACUGCAAAAUGGUUACCAUAAUAAGUAUAGUUACCAUCAUUUACCACACAAACUUACAACAAACUUUUUCUUUCUCCUUGUGAUGAGAACUUAAAAUUUACCCUCCUGGCAAGUUUCAAAUAUGCUCUACAGUAUUUUUUACUAUAGUCACCAUGCUCUAUAUUACAUCCCUACGAAUUAUUUAUUUUAAAACUGUGAGUUCUGAUAUUUUUUAUUUUUGAAAGAAUAUUUUUGUUUGAUUUGCUUAUGAGAUAUCCUUCUAUAUAUUUUAUGUUCAAAUGUCACUUAUAAUAAAGCCACAUAAAGUUCCAUUGCUAAAUUCACACCUUUAGUAGGAAUAAAUUUGAAGUGACCUUGGUAUACACAAAGGGAAAUGAAAAAAAAAGAGUAUUAUAUUCUCCAAGAAUAAAUUUAACACAGCGUAUCCCAAUCAAAAAUAAUGGGCCGUAUUUAACCAUGUCAAAAAUGACUAAGCCUUCAGUUGGAUAGGAAGCUAAUUCUGUACAAUGUUAUUUAAUGUCAAGGAAUCUAUUUUUCUUUCUUUAAAAAAAUUUUUAGACAAUAGUUGUUGUUUCUUUUAACAAUUAAUAACAGGUUUUAAAACGUAUUACAUUUUAAACAAAAUAUGAUGUGAAGUUUUCAAUUAAUGAUACUUCAUGUUUUGUAUCUCUUGGUAGAAUUAAUUUCUUUUUUUUUACUUCUUUAAAUUACUCAAUGAAUUUUAUUACAGUUAUGGUUGUACAACAAUCAUCACAACCCAGUUUUAUAGCUUUUCCAACCCAAACCCCCAGCCCAUCCCCCGCUGCCUGUCUCAUUUGGAAACUGUAAGUUUUUCAAAGUCUGUGAGUCCGUAUCUGCUCUGCAAAGAAGUUCAUUGUGUCUGUUUGUUAGAUUACACAUGUAAGUGAUAGCAUAUGAUGUUGGUGUCUCACUGUCUGACUGACUUCACUUAGCACGGUAAUUUCUAUGUCCAUUAGUGUUGCUGCAAAUGCUGUUCUUUCUUUCUUUUUAAUGGCUGAGUAAUAUUCCAUUGUAUGUAUGUACCAUAUCUUCUGUCAAUGGGCAUUUAGGUUGUUUCCAUGUCUUGGCUAUUGCAUAUAGUGCUACAAUGAACAUUGGAGUACAUGAAUCUUUUCAAGUCAUGGUUUUCUCUGGAUAGAUGCCCAGGAGUGGGAUUGCUGGGUCAAAUGGUAGUUCCAUUUUUGGUUUUCUGAGGAAUCUCCAUACUGUUUUCCACAGUGGUUGCACCAAUUGACAAUCCCACCAACAGUGCAAUAGGGUUCCUUUUUCUCCACACCCUCUCCAGCAUUUAUUCUUUGUAGACUUUUUGAUGAUGGCCAUUCUGGCUGGUGUAAGGUGGUACCUCAUAGUGGUUUUGAUUUGCAUUGCUCUAAUAAUGAGUGAUGUUGAAUAUCUUUUCAUGGUUUUUUUUUUUGGCCCUCUGUAUGUCUUCUUUGGAGAAUUGUCUGUUUAGAUCUUCUGCCCAUUUUUUGAUGGGGUUGUUUGUUUUUUGGUAUUGAGCCACAGGAGGUGUUUAUAAAUUUUGGAGAUUAAUCCCUUGUCAGUUGUUUCAUUUGCAAAUAUUUUCUCCCAUUCUGUUUUGUUUAGGGUUUCCUUUGCUGUGCAGAAACUUUGAAGUUUGAUUAGGUCCCAUAGGUUUCUUUUUGUUUUUAUUGUCAUUACUCUAGGAGGUGGAUCCGAGAAGAUGUUGCUAUGGUUUAUGUCAGAGAGUGUUUGGCCUAUGUUUUCCUCUAAGAGUUUUAUAGUAUCUGGUCUUAUAUUUAGGUAUUUAAUCCACUUUGAGUUUACUUUUUUGUAUGGUGUAAGGGAGUGUUCUCAUUUCAUUCUUUUACAUGUGGCUGUCCUGUUCUCCCAGCACCACUUAUUGAAGGGACUGUCUUUCUACAUUGUAUAUUCUUGCCUCCUUUGUCAUAGAUGAGUUGACUGAGGUGCAUGUGUUUAAUUCUGGGCUUUCUAUCCGUUCCACUGAUCUAUGCCAAUACCAUACAGUUUUGAUGACUGUGGUUUGUAGUAUAGUCUGAAGUCAGGGAGCCUGAUUCCUCCAGGUCUAUUUUUCUUUCUCAGGAUGUCUUUGGCUAUUCUGGGUCUUUUGUGCCUCCAAACAAACUUUAAAAUAUUUCCUUCGAGUUCUGUGAAAAAUGUCCUUGGUAAUUUGAUAGGGGUUGCAUUGAAUCUGUAGAUUGCCUGGGGUAGUAUAGCCAUUUUGAUAAUAUUGAUUUUUUUGUGUGUUUCUGUGAUGUCCGUUGUAACUUCUCCUUUUUCAUUUCUAAUUUUAUUGAUUUCAGUCCUCUCUCCUUUUUUCUUGAUAAGUCUGGCUAACGGUUUAUCAAUUUUGUUGAUCUUUUCAAAGAACCAGCUUUUAGUUCCAUUGAUAUUAUCUAUGGUUUUCUUUGUUUCUAGUUCAUUAAUUUCUGCUCUGAUCUUUAUGAUUUCUUUCCUUCUGCUAACUUUAGGUCUUGUCUGUUCUCUCUCUAGCUGCUUUAGAUGGAAAGUUAGGUUGUUUAUUUGAGCUUUUUCUUAUUUCCUGGGGUAGGCUUGUAUUGCUAUAAACUACCGUCUUAGAACUGCUUUUGCUGCAUCCCAUAGGUUUUGGAGUAUUUUAUCUUUGUUGUCAUUUGCUUCUAGGUAUUUUUUAAUUUCCUCUGUGAUUUCUUCAGUGAUCCAUUGGUUGUUUAGUAUCAUGUUGUUUAGUCUCCACGUGUUUGUGUUUUUUGCAGUUUCUUUUCUUGUUGAUUUCCAGUUGUAUAGCCUUGUGGUUGGAAAAGAUGCUUGAUAUGAUUUCAAUUUUCUUAAAUUUACCAAGGUUUGAUUUUUGGCCCAAAAUGUGAUCAAUCUUAGAAAUGUACUUAGAGAUGCACUUGAGAAGAAUGUGUAUUCUGCUGCUUUUAUAUGGAAUGUCCUAUAAAUAUCUAUUAAGCCCGUCUGGUCAUUCAGGGCCUGUGUUUCCUUAUUGAAUUUCUGUCUGGAUGAUCUGUCCAUUGCUGUAAGUGGGUGUUAAAGUCCCCCACUAUUACUGCGUUAUUGUCAAUUUGUCCUUUUAAGGCUGUUAGAGGUUGCCUUAUAUAUUGAGGUUAUCCUAUGUUGGGUGCAUAUGUAUUUACAAUUGUUAUAUCUUCUUCUUGGAUUGAUCCUUUGAUCAUUAUGUAAUAUCCUUCCUUUUCUCUUAUAAUAUUCUCAUUUUAAGCUCUAUUUUGUCUGUUAUGAGUAUUGCUACUCCAGCUUUCUUUUGAUUCCCAUUUGCAUGGCUAUUUUCUUCCAUCCUCUCACUUUCAAUUUGUAUGUGUCCCUAGAAUUUAAGUGAGUCUCUUGAAGACAGCAUAUAUAUGGAUCUUGUUUUUGUAUCCAUUCAGCCAGUCUAUGUCUUUUGGUUAGGGCAUUUAGUCCAUUUACAUUUAAGGUAAUUAUUGAUAUGUAUGUUCUCAUUGCCCUUUUAUUAACUGUUUUGGAUUUGUUUUUGUUGCUCUUUUUCUUCCUGUCUUCUCUUGUUCUCUCCUCUUGUAGUUUGAUGACUAUCUUUAGUGUUGUAUUUGAGUUGAUUUUUCUUAUUUGUUUGUGUAUCUAUUGUAGAUUUUUGGUUUGCAGUUAUUCUGAAGUUUUGAUAUAGGAGUCUAUAUACAUAGGAGAUUGCUUUAAGUUCUUGGUCUCUUAAUUGCAAGUGCAUCUCCAGUAUCCUGCAUUUUUACCUUCCUCUUCUCACGAUUUCUGAUUUUGGUAGUGUAUUUUUGCGUGGAUGAAUUCCUACCUUUAUUGUAUAUAUGCCUUUACUAGUGAGCCUUGUCAUUUUUGGUAUUUUUGUUUCUAGUUGUGGCUUUUUCUUUUUUGCCUAGAGAAGUUCCUUUAGUAUUUGUGGUAAAGCUGGUUUAGUGUUGCUGAAUUCUCUUAGCUUUUGGUUAUCUGUAAAGCUUUUGAUUUCUCCUUCAAAUCUGAAUGAGAGCCUUCCUGGGUAAAAUAAUCUCUGUUGGAGAUUUUUCCCUUUCAUCACGUUAAGUAUAUUUGCCACUCCCUUCUGGCCCAAGGGUUUCUGCUGAAAAAUCUGCCAAUAACCUUAUCAGCAUUCCCUUGUAUGUUAUUUGUUUCUUUUCCCUAGCUGCUUUCAAUAUUUUCUCUUUGUCUUUAAUUUUGGUCAGUUUGAUUAAUAUGUGUCUCAGGGUGUCCCUCCUUGUCUUUGUUUUAUAUGGUAUUUUUUGUGUUUCCUGGAUUUGAGUGAGUACUUCCUUUCCUAUGUAGGGAAAUUUUCAGCUAUUAUCUCUUUGAAUAUUUUUUCUGUCCCUCUUUCUCUCUCUCUUCUCUUUCUGACACCCCUAUAAUACAGAUGUUUGUGCAUUUAACAUUGUACCAGAUUUCUCUUAGACUGUUUUCAUUUCUUUUCAAUCUUUUUUCUCUUUUCUUUUACGCAUCAGUGAUUUCCACUAGUCUGUGCUCCACCUCCCUUAAUCAUUCUUCUGCUUCCUGUAUUCUGCUUUUUGUUGUUUCUAAUGAAUUUUUUAUUUUGGUUAUUGUAUUUUGCAUCUUUGCUUUCUUAAGUUUUAAAUCUUGUAUUUCUUUGCUCAGUGUUUGCUAUAAAUUAUUGGUCUUUGCCUCCAGUUUAUUUCCAAUGUCUUGUAUCAUCUUCAGCAUCAUCAGCCUGAAGUCUUUUUCCUGGAGGCUGAUAAUCUCCAGAUCACUUAGCUGUUUUUCUGCUUUUUUUUUUUUCUUGCUCCCUUAUCUGAGUUAUAGUUCUCUGCCUUUUCAUUUUUAUAGUUUUUUGGUGUAGUAUCCUUUUUUUUUCUUUGGAGACAAUAUAGUUGUAGCCUUUCUUACUUCUGAUGUCUGCUCCCCUUGUUGCUGAAGUUGGUACAGGGUCUUGCUGUAGGCUUCCUAAUGGGAGGGACUGGGGCCUGCCUGCUGGUAGGUGGGGCUGAUUCCUAUCCCUUUGGUAGGUGAGGCUUUGUCUCUGGGUGAGAUUAGAAGUGACUGUGUGCCUGGGAAGGGGUCUUUAUGCAGCCUGUUUACUGAUGGGUGGGGCUGUGAGCUCACCUGGAUAAUUUUUUGGCCUGAGGAUUCUCAGAGCUUUGGGUGGGGCCAGAUUUUCUCAAAAUGGCCACCUCUAGAGGAACACAUGCUAAUUCCCAAGAGAUUUGCCUCCUAUGUCCUUCUCCAUAACAAGCCACAUUCGCCCCCUGUUUUCCUAGGAGAUCCUCCAAGAGCUGCAGUCAGGUCCCGCCCAGAUUCCUAUGGAAUAUCUGCUUUGCCUUGGGACCCUACUCCUAAGUCCUGUGGAUCUCCUGCACACAAGUCCCACUGGCCUUCAAUUCCAGAUGUUCUGGGUUCUCUUUCUCCCAAUGUCAGAUCCCCAGGCAUGGAGACCUGUUGUGGGGCUCAGAACUCUCACUCUUACAGGUGAGUCUCUGUGAUAUGGUUACUUUCCAGUCUGUAGGCUUCCCACCCAGCAGGUAAGGGGUUGUUCAUAUCAUGUAAUUGAUGCCCUACCUCUUGAAGUGGGUUCCUCUUUGUCUUCUGGAGUAGGAUAUCUUUUUUAGUUUCCAGUCCAUUUGGUUGAAGGUUGUUUAGGAUUCGGUUGUAAUUUUAUUGUUUUUAUGAGAGAGGUUGAGCUCCAGUCCUUCUCUUCCAAGAUCUUAAUCCUGACCUCUCUCUUUUUUAAUUUUUUUAUUAAUAGUUGAUUUACAAUGUUCUAUCAACUUCUGCUGUGCAGCAAAAUGACCCAAUCAUAAACACACACACACACACACACACACACACAUAUUCUUUUUCCAUCAUGUUCCAUCACAAGUGGCUAGAUAUAGUCCCUGUGCUAUACAGCAGGAUCUCAUUACUUAUCUACUCCAAAUGCAAUAGUUUGCAUCUAUUAUCCUCAAAUUCCCAGUCCAUUCUACUCCCUCUCCCUCCCCCUUGGCAAGUCUGUUCUCCAUGUCCAUGAGUUUGUUUCUUUUCUAUAAAUAGGUUCAUUUGUGCCACACAUUAGAUUCCAGGUAUAAGAGAUAUCAUAUGGUAUUUGUCUUUCUCUUUCUGACUUACUUCACUUAGUUUGAGAGUCUCUAGUUCCAUCAAUGUUGCUGCAAAUGGCAUUAUUUUGUUCUUUUUUUAAUCCUGAGUAAUAUUCCAUUGUGUGUAUAUACUACAUCUUCUUGAUCCAUUCAUCUGUCAAUGGACAUUUAGAUUGUUUCCAUGUCUUGGCUAUUGCAAAUAGUGUUUCAAUAAACAUAGGGGUGCAUGUAUCUUUUUCAAUGAAACUUUUGUAUGGAUAAGUGCCCAGGAGUGGGAUUGCUGGGUCAUAUGGUAGUUCUAUAUUUAGUUUUCCGAGGUACCUCCAUAUGGAACCAUAAAAGACCCUGAAUUGCCAAAGCAAUCCUGAGGAACAAAAACAAAACAGUAGGCAUAAAUCUACCAGAUUUCAGACAAUGUUAUAAAGCUACAGUAAUUAAGACAGUGUGGUACUUGUAUAAAAACAGACAUACAGACCCAAUGGAACAGAAUAGAAAACCUAGAAAUAAUUCCAGACAUCUAUGGUCAGCUAAUCUUCAGUGAGAACAUAAAAUGGGAAAAAGUCUCUUCAGCAAAUGGUGCUGGGAAAACUGGACAGCUGUAUGUAAAUCAUGAAAUUGGAGCAAACCCUCACACCAUGCACAAAAAUAAAUUCAAAAUGGCGUAAAGAAUUAAACAUAAGACAAGACACCGUCAAACUCCUAAAGAGAACAUAGGCAAAACAUUCUCUUACAGCACCUGUGCAAAUAUUUUCUUAGGUCAGGCUCCCAAAUCAAUAGCAAUAAAAGCAAAAAUAAAUGAAUGGGACCUAAUCACACUGACAAGCUUUUGCACAGCAAGUG